rnacentral:rRNA from 1 species
GAUGAACGCUGGCGGCGUGCCUAAUACAUGCAAGUCGAGCGAACGGACGAGAAGCUUGCUUCUCUGAUGUUAGCGGCGGACGGGUGAGUAACACGUGGAUAACCUACCUAUAAGACUUGGAUAACUUCGGGAAACCGGAGCUAAUACCGGAUAAUAUUUUGAACCGCAUGGUUCAAAAGUGAAAGACGGUCUUGCUGUCACUUAUAGAUGGAUCCGCGCUGCAUUAGCUAGUUGGUAAGGUAGCGGCUUACCAAGGCAACGAUGCAUAGCCGACCUGAGAGGGUGAUCGGCCACACUGGAACUGAGACACGGUCCAGACUCCUACGGGAGGCAGCAGUAGGGAAUCUUCCGCAAUGGGCGAAAGCCUGACGGAGCAACGCCGCGUGAGUGAUGAAGGUCUUCGGAUCGUAAAACUCUGUUAUUAGGGAAGAACAUAUGUGUAAGUAACUGUGCACAUCUUGACGGUACCUAAUCAGAAAGCCACGGCUAACUACGUG